rnacentral:rRNA from 1 species
CGGUCCAGACUCCUACGGGAGGCAGCAGUGGGGAAUAUUGGGCAAUGGGCGCAAGCCUGACCAGCAACGCCGCGUGAAGGAAGAAGGCUUUCGGGUUGUAAACUUCUUUUCUCAGGGACGAAGAAAAUGACGGUACCUGAGGAAUAAGCCACGGCUAACUACGUGCCAGCAGCCGCGGUAA